rnacentral:lncRNA from 1 species
AGCCCAAAGAGAACAGAGGCAGCAGGGGUAAGGGUCAUGGGACCUUGAUUGAUUGAGAUUGAUGUCAGCUGCUGAUUCGGCGCUUGUGUAGCGGCCGUGGAGAUCUCGUGCAGGAGAUAGUUUGUCUGUUUUGUUUUUAUGUUCUGUGUUCGGUUUCACUAUGAGAAUCCCAUACACACGAAAUGAACUACUAAACAUCAGAGCAACUUUAUCCCGUAGUUGCCACCCUGAUCUUCAGGGUUUUCAUUCGGAUAUCCUUACUAACUCUACGGAUCGUAGCCCAAACAAACACACGAGAGCUCGCCCAUGGAGGCUACUCCCCCGCAGCAGAGCGAGGGGCAAGCGAGCCGGCUGCAGACUCCGCUUGGAGAAGAAAGGUUUCCGUGCACCUUUACCUGGAUUAGUACUGGCUAACGUGAGAUCACUCAGCAACAAGCUGGAUGAGCUCCAACUUCGGCUGAGGACGGACAAGAGCUAUUCACAUAUUGCUGCUUUCUGCUUUACGGAAACCUGGCUCCACUCCAAUAUUUCUGACACGGCGAUGGACCUGCCCGGCUAUCAGCUCUUUAGAGCGGACCGCGAUGCGACAGCCACCGGGAAAACAAAAGGCGGAGGUGUCUGCUUUUAUGUGAGUAACGAGUGGUGCAGCGAUUUAACAGUCAUCGCUGAAUUAUGUUCCCCCGAUCUGGAAUUACUGGUGAUACACUGCAAACCCUUCUACUCACCUAGAGAAAUAUCAUCCAUUAUCCUUGCGUGUGUCUACGUCCAGCCUCAGGCGCACGCUGACACCGCACAGCAACUUUUAGCAGAUCAGAUCACGGAGUUGGAGAACAAGUUCCCUAACUCCACUUUAUUUGUCAUGGGUGACUUUAACCACACUGAUCUGAGAUCUGAACUUCCAAAAUACCAUCAGCUGGUGCGCUGCGCCACCAGGGGAGAACGGACUCUUGAUCAGUGCUAUUCUACCAUCAGAGAGGCAUAUCGCGCGUGCGCACCACUAGGCAAUAGCGAUCAUUCUGUGAUUAAACUCAUCCCCACAUACCAGUCCCUACUCAGGAAACAAAAACCGGUCAAGAGGUCUGUCCAGAUACGAACACCUGAUGCAACUGAAUCACUGCAAGCCUGUUUUGACAUUACAGACUGGGCAGCUAUUAAGCUGGCAUGCAAUGACAUUGAUGAGUAUGCAGACACAUGCUCAUCCUACGUCUACUUCUGUGAGGAACUCUGCAUCCCCAGACAAUCCAUUGUCAUUUAUAGUAAUAAUAAACCGUGGUUCAACAAGGAGGUGAGGCUACUGAGGAGAGGGAAGGAGGCGGCCCACAGGAGCGGAGAUAAGGACGCGUACACCAAAGCCAAAUAUGCCCUCAGCAAAGCCAUCCAGCAUGCUAAAGGGGUGUAUAAGACUAGAAUUGAACAACAGGUCGGGGAUAAGAACAUCAGAGCUGUCUGGAGGGGCCUACAAUCUGCCACGGGCUACAAGAAGAAGCCCCCCCCCACCUCUAACGACCCAAAUCUACCAGACC